rnacentral:rRNA from 1 species
UCAGUCGACUCCUACGGGGAGGCAGCAGUGGGGAAUAUUGCACAAUGGGGGAAACCCUGAUGCAGCCAUGCCGCGUGUGUGAAGAAGGCCUUCGGGUUGUAAAGCACUUUCAGUAGGGAGGAAGGUAGUGUAGUUAACACCUGCACUAUUUGACGUUACCUACAGAAGAAGCACCGGCUAACUCCGUGCCAGCAGCCGCGGUAAUACGGAGGGUGCGAGCGUUAAUCGGAAUUACUGGGCGUAAAGCGCAUGCAGGCGGCCUGUUAAGUCAGAUGUGAAAGCCCGGGGCUUAACCUCGGAAUUGCAUUUGAAACUGGCAGGCUAGAGUCUUGUAGAGGGGGGUGGAAUUUCAGGUGUAGCGGUGAAAUGCGUAGAGAUCUGAAGGAAUACCAGUGGCGAAGGCGGCCCCCUGGACAAAGACUGACGCUCAGAUGCGAAAGCGUGGGGAGCAAACAGGAUUAGAUACCCUGGUAG